UACGUAGGGGGCAAGCGUUGUCCGGAUUUAUUGGGCGUAAAGAGCGUGUAGGCGGCCACACAGGUCAGCUGUGAAAACUCGAGGCUCAACCUCGAGACGUCGGUUGAAACCGUAUGGCUAGAGUCCGGAAGAGGAGAGUGGAAUUCCCGGUGUAGCGGUGAAAUGCGCAGAUGACGGGAAGAACACCCGUGGCGAAGGCGGCUCUCUGGGACGGUACUGACGCUGAGACGCGAAAGCGUGGGGAGCGAACAGG
rnacentral:rRNA from 1 species